ensembl:lncRNA
GGAGGAGGAGGAGGGGGGAGGCGGAAGGAUGCUGAAGGGAAAUAACGGGGAGGAAGGAGUGAUGCAAUGGCUGCGACGUCGUCGAAUGAACCGAUCCCGAUCAAUCUCAUGUUCAGAAGUAAUUAUCAUUCAUCUCUCAUCGAUGAGACGAUUCUGAUUAAUCCCGAAUAAAGACCAGCUGUCGCUGUAGGAUCUUCUUCACAUCUUCUUGGUUUCAUCCGACUGUUGACGCCACGGUCCGUGAAGAGCUCACGGAGCCUGUACGGUAUCUCAUUAUGGAAAGAUAUCGAUAACGAGAGGGGUACAAAAAGAAUUUCCAGAACAUUAGUUAUACCAUGGGACACGGUGAAAGCCAUCAUCAACAAUUGGAGAAAAUGGGGCACUACUGAGUGACAUCACUGAGAACACGACGUUCCUUCGAGAUUGAUGAAAGGACAAGAAGAACACUCGUCAGGGAGGCUGCCAGGAGACCUACGGCAACAUUAAUGAAGCUGCGGAAAUACCUGGCUCAGAAGUACUGCUCAGUCCCUGCAUCGCUCUUGUAGCUGAUCAUCCCUAGAGGGUUUGACCGCCCUGGUUUAUGCCCCGCCCACCUCUCCUGCCCCUCCCCCACAACCCAACCGCCCUCCUAGAUUCUCCUACUGGUUUAUCUGGACCACGCCCUCUUUCUCCACCCCAAACUUCACCCAAACCAAGGAGCUCGGGGGCGUUCCGGACAAAGACCGAUUAAACAGAAAAGACUACGUGUUUUUAUUCAGUUAAUUUUUUCUUAAAUGGAUGAUUGAAGAAAACGAGAGGACGCAAACUAUUCGUGAGCGUCCGUAUUUAGCGGAGAAGAAACGGUACUGCGGACUGAAAGAGGACGCUUUUGGUCAGAGGAAGGAUCGCAGAAGGGUGGGCGUUUGUUGAUAAAGAAAUACUUCCUGUUUACAUUAAGCAUCGUCUUUCUAAGAGUACACGGCUCUACAUUUCACAGGAAACUGUAAGGGUUACACACACACACACACACACACACACACACAGUAUCACAUAAACCACUCCCACACGUCCCGGCCUCAGGAUGAUGUGCGAGGUGAUGCCCACUAUUUCGGAGGAUGGCCGUGGUGGAGGAGGAGGGGGCCGUCCUCGCCUGCUGGGGG